GAGGUUGAGGUCUUUCAAACCCGUAUCUCUGGUAUAUGAGCAUCUAAUCCGACCCAACCAGCACACGGAAAGAUCGACUGGUGCUGUAGAUAAGUCUUUGAUGAUUUAACCGAUUGAAACCAUCAGCGUAUUUGUUUUUUAGGUAGAGAAAAGCAUAAGCGUAUUUGUUUUUUAGCAAAAAAAAAAAAAGUAUAAAGAGCGUAAUUUAUAUUUUGUAUACCGCUUCCGGUGUCCCGCGUCCCUAUACCAAUACUUCCCGUUCGAAGGCUGUCGUUUCGGGGUUCGUUGACUCCGUUCAAAAGAUUGAAGCUUCUGUAGCCUGGGCGCAAAAAAACGCAGUUCUACGAACAAUUUCCUGUCCGGCGACACCUCCACCGGGGAAAGAAAAAAUGGUUGGUAGAAGAUGAAGAAAAAAGUUUGUAAUAAAAGGGCUAUGAAGGAAAUAAUUGUGGUGAUAUAUCAGUGGAAGGCUCCAUUCAACACUGUGGAGAUUCAAGGGACACUCUCUGAUUUUACAAGAAUGAAAAACAGAGUUCAGGGACACCUCUGAUUAAAAAUAAAUAAAUAAAUAAAUAAAUAAUAGUACAUAUGGAAUCAAAGUGACAAAUGGUCAAGUUGUUUCACAUGAGAAAGAUUUCAUAUAGUGAAUCAGCUGUUGAUGUCCAGCUGUAGCUUUUAGCUUGCUUGUUAGUACCUUAGUAUUGUACUAUGUAGCUCAUUGGUUACUUUCUUUCAUGGCGCAUAUGGUAUAUAAUGGUGUCCCUUGGUUGUACAGAUUAGAAUUGUAUUCCUUAAGCCUGUUUAAAUUUUAGGUUUCAAAGCUCUCUGAGACUCUCAUUAUGUAAGAUGCUUUAAUUUAUCUAGAAGUAAAAUGGUUAAUGGGAAUAGGAGCACUUGAGUGUCCUUAGUUUGUAGACAUUGAAAUUUUGGAGGCAAGCUUCCUUCCCUUGGUGAUUAGUCUAUCAAUAUCUUAUGCAAGUCUCAAUUUUAUAGAUGUUCAUUAAGAGUUCAAAUUUUUUGUGUUUGGAAUUGUAAUGAGGUUCUGUUCCUUGUUCCUCUCUAUCUGGGUAAUCAAUUAAAAAUCAUCUUCUCUAUUUGUACUUUUCUUUUUAACUACAUUAUUUCUGUUAUGGUCUUAGUUCUUUCAUAUCUUUUAUUCGUUUCCAUAUAUUCACCCAUCUAACCAUAGCUGUAUUCUUAAAUUCAAGAAACCUAAUCUUUCACCAUCUAAUUAGUCCUUUGGAACUUACUAAUCCUCCAUUUCUCUAGCAUAAACUCCAUCCCAAGUCCACCUGUGGACCUGAGGUUCCUGUAACCUAUAAAAUCUCCAGCCAUCUUUAUGUUUAUUUGUCAACAUUUUCCAUUGUCGGCUUGUCGCUUCACCCAACAACCCUGAGUCCUUGGCCAUUUAUAGCUUUAUUUUCUAGCCCUCUUAACGCUAAUUUAUCCCUCAUCUCAAACUCUUAUUUCCUUUAUAGAACUGUGAGAUUAGACCACCUUUAUUUGUUAUUUCCUUUACAGAAUUGUCUAAACUCCUGUUUACUAAGUAGCCAACAUCUCUUUUUUUUCGUUUUCCUUUUUAUGUAUAUCUCUUUUGAUAUUCUUGUGUUGGAGGUGAUAAGCAUCUCAUUAAUAUUGUUGAUAGAAUUUAGGAAGGAAAGCAAAUGGAGAGAAAAAGGGAUUAAAAUUGUACAUAGGAAAUAUAUUAGGUAUUCUGACUUGUGAAGUAUUUUGUUUUCCCAAGAACAAUUGAUGAUGUCUGAACCCACUCAACUCAACUAAGCCUCUCUGAACCAAGUGGGUUGGCUACGCGGAUCCUAUUUCAGAACAAUAGAUGAUUUCUGUAUCCUGUAGUUGAGACUUUGAAGAAUUGCUUAAUGGUCUCUUUGAAAUAUUUCUAUUAGAUAGAAUGAGAAUUGAACACGAUAAUCCACUAUUACACCCUUUGUCCCACAAAGUUAGUCCUGUUUGAGGUUUUGCACUGUCCUAUGAAACCAACAUAUGAAGUUCUGUUGGAUUUCUCAUAACCCCUAUUUUUUCAUUCACGCAUUUAUUUUUUGCACCUGUUAUAAUUGUUUCCCUCUGUCACAUAGGCCAAACUGAUAGGGGUAAUCUUGAAAGCAAGGUUUGAAAUUAGUGGGUGGUUAAUGCAUCAACAACCAUCUCCUUGAACUGUGGUUUUUUAUCCCCCCAUCAAGACAGUCUGUGGGACAGAGUGAUGAGCGCUUUCGUUGAUUGGCCUGAACCCAUUUGGGAAUCUUGAUGGAGAUGAACCGGGUCCAAUUUGGGUCUUUUGAAUCAACUUAGAAUAUUUAAUUAUUUAAUUGGGAUAAGCAUGUUAUUCUAGUUGGAGAGUAGUCUUUAUUGUUAGGAGUAUUUUGUUUCUCUUUAUAUAUGGUGUAAUCGCCUAUGUUGGGAGUUGAUUGAAUCAAGGUUAAAAAUCUUGUUUCGUUUCGGCAUUUCGGUGGUUUCCAAACCACUGAAAUACUGAGAUAUCAGCGAGUUACAUGUUUUUUUACUCGGUUGCCUGUUUCAGUGGUCAAACGGCCAUAUUAUGACUUGAAACUUGGUGGGGAGUUUGUUUUAAGGUUAAUAAACAUAGAACUUAAAUUUGCAAAAUAUUAAAACAUGGCAGUGUUUUAGAGUUGCACCCUUGUUUGGUAGCAACUGUCAAACUGUAUGGAGAUUUUAUAAAAUAUUGCUAGAGCAAGAUAUAAUAUGAUAAUAGAACAAGUAAAUAAUGCAUCCAAGCCAUGAUCAAAACGUACAUCAACAUUAAUUAACUAAUAUUUAGAGUACUAGAGUAAUAUAGUAUGCAACUCCCUAACUCCCAAGUCCCAACUAAAGUCCUCCACUCCUGUUUUACUCUGAAUUCUCAAAGUCCCAAAUGGCAAUAUCCCAAGUCCCAAACAACAUGUAUUUAUGUUACUAUUUCAAAAAAAAAAAAAAAGGUUUUGGGGAAAGUGUACCUUUCCAAGGCUUGGAAAUGUGUAGAUAUUCAAGUUGGAGCGAUCUCUAAUGGAAUAGAUGUGAUGAUGUGGCAAACAACUUCGCAAUGCACUGAUUUUGUGAAGUUACAGUCGAGUUGGAGUUGAAAUUUCGACUCUUCCUCACAAAAUGAAGUAUAAAAAAAAGCAUGUGGGUUGUAGCAUUUCGGCGAGAUACCGAAAUUUCGACCGAAACAUUAUAUACUUUUUUCAUUUCGUAGGCUGUUUCAUCUCGGUAAAAAAAAAAAAGGCCAAAAUUUCCGAGGUAUCGCCGACAUCUCGGCGAGAUUUCCAACCAUGGAUUGAAUAGAAAGAAGUUGUGAGUUGUGAAGCCUGCUGGCUGUGCGUGUGCAAGUUUCUUACCCCCUUCUUUUUACCUGUGAUCUCUUUCUCUUCUUCCUCACCUUCUCUGUCUACUGUUAUCCUUUUCUACCCUGUGGGUACUGGCUGUAUCUCUGAUCUGAAACGCGGUUGCUGGUUCUCUAGUUUUACAGCCCAGGAUGAAUGUUCUAGGGAUUAGGUUGCUUUCCUAUUACAAUUCGAACUCCAGAUUCCUAUCCUCAAUCAUCUCCCCAUUGAGAGCUACAAAUCUGGAAUAAAGGUACAAUUGUACAAACAGUAACUACCGCCUCACAUUCUUUCCAGAAACUUUCUGUGCUUUCUGGGUUGUUGUUUCUAUUAGCUGUAUCUUUGAAUCAGCAGGACUCUAGGGAUUAGGUUGCUUUCCUAGUAUGAUUCGAACUCCAGGCUCCUAUCCUCAAUCAGCUCCCCAUCGAGAGCUACAAAUCUGGAAUAAAGGUACGAACAGUAACUACUGCCUGACUCUCUUACCAGAAACUUUCUGUGCUUUCUGGGUUGUUGUUUCUAUUAGCUAUAUCUUUGAAUCAGCAGGGCUCGGGAUUGUGACUUUCCCCAGAGUUGCAACUUGCAAGGUUGUUGGGUUCCAGUCCAAGGAGUUCUCUUCCAAACCGAGUUUGGCUUUCCGUUAGUUACAGGUCAUUCCAAGGUUGAAGACGAUUUCACGAUUGUCCCUUAAUACUUUUUUAAUUUUGUUUUGCGAGAUUUAUCCCUCUCUUUCAUUAAUUCAGUUUUAUCCCAUACCUUAUAUUUGCUUCCAAAUCUGCCCUCAUUCAAUGAAUCUAAUUCCUCGUCUGUCCAUUACUCUAUUUGGCUAUCAAGUUGCCCCCUAUAUAUUCUGGUUUAUUAUGAAAUUAUCAUUAUCUUUAAUUGUGGAGCUAUUUAGUGUCCAGGUGGGUCCAUAAGAGAACCCAAAUAGGGUAUUGUGACUUGGGUUGCGCAUCACAGAGAGUAUCUUUUGUCCAGAUUUGGCAGGGAGAUUACUCCAAACGAGGAUAUGUAAGGGAGGUGAUGAAUUGAAGUCAUAUGAUUAUUCAAUGGGGAAAUUACCUAGAUCCACUAGAUAAGUUAAUUUAUUACAAGAUAAGAAGGUCUAAAGUUUAUUUUACAUUCUUUAGUUUCAAGUUUAAAAACAUUUACUUAAUCCCCAAAGUUAAUUAUUGUUCAUGAGGCCCAAGAAAAAAUAAAAGCAAACUUCCUAAAAUAGCCCCAACUUUACUUAACGUACAUAACUACUGAGGUGGAAUCACAUUAGUUGCGUCUCGAAAACCAACGUGAUCAUGUAACCCCAAUGUUUGAGAAUUUGGUUAAAUAUUAAAUAAUUCGAGUUGAUGUUGGAGCCAAGGAUUGGACGUGGGUUUUCCCCUCUUCUUCUUCAUCAUGGAUUAUGUUUGACAUCUCAUUAGCUGUGAGCUUCUUCUCCUCAUCUCUAUCGAUUCAGUUCAGACCUUUCCUACCAGAUCCCCAGUCCAAAAGCUUACCGGUAUAGAAAGUUCCAGUAAAACUUUAUGAUGCAGCAGGGACUCUCGAUUGGGCCAAGGCAGGGCUGUAUCUGCCCCAAUCUUUUGGUUCGUUCAAACCCAUAUCGAGUAGCCUAUGCCAGCCAAUUCUGGCACAUCAAUCAGCUAAUUGAGGAAGAUAUUCUCCAGAAUAAUUUCCAGAUUUGGAUUGAAAUAUUUCCAGAUUACGCGGAGAAGAAUUUGGGAGUUCAUUGGAGUUUUUUUCCCCAGUUAGCGCUGCUUAAUGCUUAGUCAACUAUGUUUUUUCGCUUCGAUUUCAUUUGAGGAUCUUUGUCAAGCGGGCAUUGGAGAGAUCUGAGUCUCUGGUUCUUUGUUCUGUCGUGGGUUAUCUCUGACGCUAGAGGGAUGAGAAGGAACAAUGUGAUUCUACGUGAUCAUGUUGGGUUUCGAGAUGCAACUAAUGUGAUUCCACUUCAGCAGUUAUGCACGUUAAGUAAGGUUGGGGCUAUUUUAGGGAGUUUGUUUUUACUUUUUCUUGGUCCCAUGAACAAUAACUAACUUUGGGGAUUAAGUAAAAAUUUUUAAACUUGAAACCAAUGAAUGUAAAAUAAACUUUAGACCUAGGUAAUUUCCCCUUAUUCAAUAAGGUCAACUGGGAGUAGUUCCCCAGAAUGGCCAAACAUUCGUGUGGAACCUAUGGUUCCAGACUAUAUAACUCUGCUCUGUCAUCAAUUACCAUCUUGGCUUCAAGUCUGUCUACUCAUCAGGAGGGAGGGGGAGAAAGGUUGGUGGGACUGCAUGUAGCAUACUUACACUUAAAUGAAGUUCCUUGCCUUCUAAUAUUAUCUGCCGAACGUGUUUAUUUAAAGGUUGAGGAGAUAAA